rnacentral:lncRNA from 1 species
CAAUGUUGCAAUGGUAAGUAACGUUAUAAACAGCAACUGAAAGUGAAAGUGAAAGUUCAUUGUAAGUAUGGAAGUAAACUAUAAAAAGAAAUUAAAAUAAAAUGUUUUUGUUGUGAAAAUGUUUGUUAAAAUUAUUCUGCCAACAUGUGUUUGUCCUCUUGCAUCGUGGAAAGAAUAAUACAAUAAGUUGUCAGGCUGUGUAUAGACUGUAUAGGUUGUGUGAUCUGAAUGUUCAUUUAACUUUCUUCCCCAAAAUAGACGAGAUUUUAUCAGCAAUUCCGUACCAUUUCGACUGGCUUCCCUUGGCCAGAGGUACUGCUUCCAAUCGCGUCAAGAAUGCUGUAAAAUGUUUCGGUCGCCGAGAGUAAAGGACACAAAGUAUAAAUAUCGCUAGUCUAUAUGUUGAAUUUGAACUAUGUAUCGUUCAUCAAACUAUCGGGAAUGGCCAGUUUUCUGUAAAAAUGGUUGUAUCUCGAGUGUUGUAUGUUUGAUUACCAUAUUUUCGGGAGCUUCAGAUUGAAUUUAAAGAAUACGAAAUCGGGUGCAUUUAAUUUCAAAUUAAUUCUGUAAGAGAGAAAUAAUUUCCUAUCACUGUUCUUUUCCUCCUUAAGGCUCGUAUUGGGUUAAGAUGGUCCGUUAUUAUCUAUUUCUUUUCUUGUGUUUGAUGGCAGCAUUCUCGGAAGGUUCCUGUGGGUGCCUCAACAAAAUAUAACUUUGUUUACUGUGUGCGAAUGGCUAGUAUGAUUAGCGCUGAUUGCAACGACGGUUUCCUUACAGAAUGCAGGGGUUCACGAUAAAAAAUAAAAUCAAUUACAAACGAAAGUCAACCAACGCCUGGUGAGUCUGUAGUACGGUAGAGUCCAUAAAGUGGAUACCUCGCCG